rnacentral:rRNA from 1 species
CACGUGGAUAAUCUGACCUUAGAUGGAGGAUAACCUCGGGAAACUGAGAAUAAUACUCCAUAGAUCUUUGAGGCUGGAAUGCGCUUAGAUUUAAAGCUUCGGCGUCUAAGGAUGAGUCUGCGGACUAUCAGGUAGUAGUCAGGGUAAAGACCUGACUAGCCUACGACGGAUACGGGUUGUGAGAGCAAUAACCCGGAGAUGAUAUCUGAGACACGAUAUCAGGCCCUACGGGGCGCAGCAGGCGCGAAAACUUCACAAUGCGCGAAAGCGCGAUGAGGGGAUCCCAAGUGCUUGCACGUAAGUGUAAGCUGUUUUUCUGUUUAAAAAGCAGAGAGAGUAAGGGCUGGGUAAGACGGGUGCCAGCCGCCGCGGUAAUACCUGCAGCUCAAGUGGUGGCCGCUAUUAUUGGGCCUAAAACGUCCGUAGCCGGCUAAGUAAAUGCCUGGGUAAAUCGUGUGGCUUAACCAUACGAAUUCCGGGUAGACUAUUUAGCUUGGGACCGGAAGAAGUUAGAGGUACUCCUGGGGUAGGGGUGAAAUCCUGUAAUCCUGGGGGGACCAC